rnacentral:rRNA from 1 species
AGAGUUUGAUUAUGGCUCAGGACGAACGCUGGCGGCGUGCCUAACACAUGCAAGUCGAACGGAGAAUUUUAUUUCGGUAGAAUUCUUAGUGGCGAACGGGUGAGUAACGCGUAGGCAACCUGCCCUUUAGACGGGGACAACAUUCCGAAAGGAGUGCUAAUACCGGAUGUGAUCAUCUUGCCGCAUGGCAGGAUGAAGAAAGAUGGCCUCUACAAGUAAGCUAUCGCUAAAGGAUGGGCCUGCGUCUGAUUAGCUAGUUGGUAGUGUAACGGACUACCAAGGCGACGAUCGGUAGCCGGACUGAGAGGUUGAACGGCCACAUUGGGACUGAGACACGGCCCAG